rnacentral:rRNA from 1 species
GACGAACGCUGGCGGCGUGCUUAACACAUGCAAGUCGAACGGUGAAGCGCCUUCCUUUUUGGUGGGUGUGGAUGAGUGGCGAACGGGUGAGUAACACGUGAGUAACCUGCCCCCUUCUUCUGGAUAACCGCAUGAAAGUGUGGCUAAUACGGGAUAUUCUGGGUCUGUCGCAUGAUGGGUCUGGGAAAGAUAUUGUUUCGGUGGGGGAUGGGCUCGCGGCCUAUCAGCUUGUUGGUGGGGUGAUGGCCUACCAAGGCGGGGACGGGUAGCCGGCCUGAGAGGGUGGACGGUCACACUGGGACUGAGACACGGCCCAGACUCCUACGGGAGGCAGCAGUGGGGAAUAUUGCACAAUGGGCGCAAGCCUGAUGCAGCGACGCCGCGUGAGGGAUGGAGGCCUUCGGGUUGUGAACCUCUUUCGCCAGUGAAGCAGGCCUGCCUCGUUUGUGGGUGGGUUGACGGUAGCUGGAGAAGAAGCGCCGGCUAACUACGUG